rnacentral:rRNA from 1 species
CCUACGGGAGGCAGCAGUGGGGAAUAUUGCGCAAUGGGGGAAACCCUGACGCAGCAACGCCGCGUGAGUGAGGAAGGACUUCGGUCUGUAAAGCUCUGUUAAUGAGGAAAAAUGGUAGUUGGUCUAAUAGGCCGAUUAUUUGAUGGUACUCAUAGAGGAAGCACCGGCUAACUUCGUGCCAGCAGCCGCGGUAAUACGAAGGGUGCAAGCGUUGUUCGGAUUUAUUGGGCGUAAAGCGCGCGUAGGCGGACCUGCAAGUAAGAUGUGAAAUCUCGAGGCUCAACCUCGAAACUGCGUCUUAAACUACAGGUCUAGAAUCUCGGAGGGGGAAGGGGAAUUUCGCAUGUAGGGGUAAAAUCCGUAGAUAUGCGAAGGAACACCAGAGGCGAAGGCGCCUUCCUGGACGAGUAUUGACGCUGAGGCGCGAAAGCGUGGGGAUCAAACAGGAUUAGAUACCCUGGUAGUCCACGCUGUAAACGAUGAACACUAGGUAUUGGAGGAUUUGACCCCUUCAGUGCCGUAGCUAACGCGUUAAGUGUUCCGCCUGGGAAGUACGGUCGCAAGCUAAAACUCAAAUGAAUUGACGGCUGAGACGNGCGAGACGACGACGAGGGAGAGG